CUGGAAACGGUAGCUAAUACCGCAUAACGUCUUCGGACCAAAGUGGGGGACCUUCGGGCCUCACACCAUCGGAUGUGCCCAGAUGGGAUUAGCUAGUAGGUGGGGUAACGGCUCACCUAGGCGACGAUCCCUAGCUGGUCUGAGAGGAUGACCAGCCACACUGGAACUGAGACACGGUCCAGACUCCUACGGGAGGCAGCAGUGGGGAAUAUUGCACAAUGGGCGCAAGCCUGAUGCAGCCAUGCCGCGUGUAUGAAGAAGGCCUUCGGGUUGUAAAGUACUUUCAGUGGGGAGGAAGGCGAAGAGGUUAAUAACCUUUUCGAUUGACGUUACCCGCAGAAGAAGCACCGGCUAACUCCGUGCCAGCAGCCGCGGUAAUACGGAGGGUGCAAGCGUUAAUCGGAAUUACUGGGCGUAAAGCGCACGCAGGCGGUCUGUCAAGUCGGAUGUGAAAUCCCCGGGCUCAACCUGGGAACUGCAUUCGAAACUGGCAGGCUAGAGUCUUGUAGAGGGGGGUAGAAUUCCAGGUGUAGCGGUGAAAUGCGUAGAGAUCUGGAGGAAUACCGGUGGCGAA
rnacentral:rRNA from 1 species